rnacentral:tRNA from 1 species
GCCGCCAUAGCUCAGGGGUAGAGCGCGUCAUUGGUAAUGACGAGGUCGCAAGUUCAAAUCUCGCUGGCGGCACCA